rnacentral:rRNA from 1 species
CCUACGGGAGGCAGCAGUGGGGAAUAUUGCACAAUGGGGGAAAGCCUGAUGCAGCGACGCCGCGUGAGGGAAGAAGGACUUCGGAAUGUAAAGCUCUAUCAGCAGGGAAGAAAGGGCAGUGUCCUAAUCAAGAAGGAAUUGACGAUACCGGCAAAGGACGCACCGGCAAACGACGUGCCAGGAGCUGCGGCAAUACGGAGGGGGCAAGCGUUAGGCGGAUUGGCUGGGGUAAAAGGGAGCGUAGGCGGCCCGGUAAGUCAGCGGUGAAAGGCCGGGGCUUAACCCCGGAACUGCCGUUGAAACUGGCAGGCUAGAGUUCAGGAGAGGUAUGUGGAAUGCCUGGUGUAGCGGUGAAAUGCGUAGAUAUCAGGAGGAACUCCGGUGGCGAAGGCAGCCUACUGGACGCAAACUGACGCUGAGGUACGAAAGCGUGGGGAGCAAACAGGAUUAGAUACCCUUGUAGUC